AUUUUGACAACAGAUGUCGGCAAGUGUAUUAUUAUUAACGUUACGAAUACAAUUUUUAUUCAAAUUAUAAAUCGUAUAAAACUAUAUGAAAUAGGUAUAUCCAUGGACGGCUUAGACACGUUUUUUAAGAUUUUAACAUUGUGACUCAUACAGUCAUACGUUUAGUUAUUCCAAACAUAAUGUCGCCAAAUUAGCUUUAAUUUGAAUGUUUUACUAAGAGUUUUCCUUUAGAUAAACCGAUUUUAUGUUAGUUUUUAAUUAUCAGUAAUACAAUAUCAUAUUUACAUCUAUUCAUAGUUCAUACAACACAAAAUGUCUAAACUAGCAUGAAUUACGUUAAAUAUAUUAAUGUAAAUAUUAAAUUUAUAAAAUGCUAUUUUUACCCACCAUUUUUGUUUACAUUCAAGUGCACAAUAUGUUUUCAUAAUAUAAACUGUGCACCAUAGGUCAAGCCUGGUUUUUUUUUGCAGCCGUGCAUAGCUUAUAAAUACCCGUUUGUAGAUACGGAAAUAAAGGUGAUCACUGAUUAGCCUGUAGGUAUUAUUCAUGUUUAUUUGCGUUUUUCGGAAAAUAUAUGUUUUAUUCUGAACCCUGACAAUCUUUAGAUUUUAUAGCUCGUAUAAUUACGAAUUUUCAGCAUUCAACCUAGUACACUUUAAGACACGUUUAACAUGCAAUGCUGCUUGUCGCUAGAUCAUUUGUGGAAGCUCGUCAUACUUUUUAAGAACGUCUAAGUUUUCUUCCACACUCACAUCACAUGAUUUAUAACACGAAAAAUAACAAUGUGUACAGAUAAUGUAAACAAAGACAACACACUUAGCACGACGACGCACAAUGGUCUGAAAUUCAAUUUUAGGAGGACAAAAUUAACGUAUUGAGGAAAUGAAUGGAUCUAAUGACUUGAACAGGCUACAAAAAAAAAAAAAAUGAAUAAUA